ACAACACGGCCAGCGGCAGCACUAACAAAAGAAAAUGCCUUCUUAAGCCAGAGUAGCUACUCGAUUUGAUCUCAACGUCGUUUGAUUUGUCUAUUUGAGCUAGCAUGAAAGAGAUCGUAUGUUUUGCAAUAGCCAGAUCGUGUACGUGUGGUGAAGUGGCUGCAAGAACAUGCUCCACGUCCAUCUCCACAGGACGGUCGUCCUCGCGCGGCGUGCCCCACCCCAGGCUUCGCUGGUCCGUCCGAUGUCGCCUUCAACCUCCGCCCCGGCGAUGCAUUCGACGGCCGCUGACCUCGCGGACCCCCGUCGUGGCAUGAACACCCUCCACCUACGUUCUGAGCCCCUGGCGACAGGGCGUUCCUCACUUACGCCGACAGUAGCGCAUGGAGGAGAUGCCGCCAGCCUCAAAGUACCUACAACGUUUCUGCAGUAAGAUUCAUGCGGCAAACAUGCCAUCGGCCACAAGGUUGGAGUACGACUAAAGCUGGUUUGGUUAAUACAGUCAAGAAAAAGGCAAUGGAAAUCCAUCUGCAGUCUGCAUUUCUCUAUGAUAUGAAUCUUUUGCAUCUAGAUGCAAGCAAAGCAGCAGACAUGCCAUCCAUCAGCCUCCAGACCGAAAUAUCCUCCUUUGUGUACUGGUUGCUUUAGCAGAACUUCUAAUGCUUCAAAAAAAAAUGGCGGCAAGCUCUAGCGGUUAUGAUGGCCGGCGCUACGCGCGGGGGUGGUAGAGGCCAAGGCGAAGCGAUAAAAGGGGCGCUAUAGCUCCGCAUACUCAGCAGGAAGGCAGAGGAGGUGUCAGGGAAGCCAGAGAGGGCGUAAGGAAGACAACGCGGUCAUUGGUGGUGGCGGCCGGACUGAGGCAUGGUGGUGGUGGUGCUUGAGGGUCGGUGGCUACUCAAGAAGGAGCUGGCAGCUUAUGACCAUAUCGAAGCGGAUGGGGUAAUGCGCCAGGUCGGGGACGGGCUGGAGGAGGAUAUCUCGACUCGUCGGCGGCACACUAGAGGGGAAGAAAACCACCAAGGCGCAACA